rnacentral:rRNA from 1 species
GCCCUUCGGAACGGGAUAGUGUUUGGAAACGGACAGUAAUACCGUAUAACGUAUUUUUACCGCAUGAUAGAAAUACCAAAACUGAGGUGCCGAAGGAUGGGCUCGCGUCUGAUUAGAUAGUUGGUGGGGUAACGGCCUACCAAGUCGACGAUCAGUAGCCGGACUGAGAGGUUGAACGGCCACAUUGGGACUGAGACACGGCCCAGACUCCCACGGGAGGCAGCAGUGGGGAAUAUUGCACAAUGGGGGAAACCCUGAUGCAGCAACGCCGCGUGAAGGAAGACGGUUUUCGGAUUGUAAACUUCUGUUCUUAGUGAAGAAUAAUGACGGUAGCUAAGGAGCAAGCCACGGCUAACUACGUGCCAGCAGCCGCGGUAAUACGUAGGUGGCAAGCGUUGUCCGGAAUUACUGGGUGUAAAGGGAGCGUAGGCGGGAUGCCAAGUCAGCUGUGAAAACUAUGGGCUUAACCUGUAGACUGCAGUUGAAACUGGUAUUCUUGAGUGAAGUAGAGGUUGGCGGAAUUCCGAGUGUAGCGGUGAAAUGCGUAGAUAUUCGGAGGAACACCGGUGGCGAAGGCGGCCAACUGGGCUUUAACUGACGCUGAGGCUCGAAAGUGUGGGGAGCAAACAGGAUUAGAUACCCUGGUAGUCCACACUGUAAACGAUGAUAACUAGGUGUGGGGGGUCUGACCCCUUCCGUGCCGCAGCUAACGCAAUAAGUUAUCCACCUGGGGAGUA